rnacentral:rRNA from 1 species
UACCACUUGGGAAACAGGGUGCUAAAUACCGGAUAGAAAGCAGAUCGCAUGAUCAGCUUUUAAAAGGCGGCGUAAAGCUGUCGCUAUGGGGAUGGGCCCCGCGGGUGCAUUAGCUAGUUGGCAAGGUAAAGGCUUACCAAGGGCGAUGAUGCAUAGCCCGAGUUGAGAGACUGAUCGGCCACAUUGGGGACUGAGACACGGCCCAAACUCCUACGGGAGGCAGCAGUAGGGAAUCUUCCACAAUGGACGCAAGUCUGAUGGAGCAAAUGCCGCGUGAGUGAAGAAGGUUUUCGGAUCGUAAAAAGCUCUGUUGUUGGUGAAGAAGGAUAGAGGUAGUAACUGGCCCUUUAUUUGACGGUAAUCAACCCAGAAAGUCACGGGCUAACUACGUGCCCAGCAGCCGCGGUAAAU